GAGGAAUAUUGGUCAAUGGGCGCGAGCCUGAACCAGCCAAGUAGCGUGAAGGAUGACUGCCCUAUGGGUUGUAAACUUCUUUUAUAAAGGAAUAAAGUGGUCCACGUGUGGAUUUUUGUAUGUACUUUAUGAAUAAGGAUCGGCUAACUCCGUGCCAGCAGCCGCGGUAAUACGGAGGAUCCAAGCGUUAUCCGGAUUUAUUGGGUUUAAAGGGAGCGUAGAUGGAUGUUUAAGUCAGUUGUGAAAGUUCGGGGCUCAACCCCGGAAUUGCAGUUGAUACUGGAUAUCUUGAGUACAGUUGAGGUAGGCGGAAUUCGUGGUGUAGCGGUGAAAUGCUUAGAUAUCACGAAGAACUCCGAUUGCGAAGGCAGCUUACUAAGCUGUAACUGACAUUGAGGCUCGAAAGUGUGGGUAUCAAAC
rnacentral:rRNA from 1 species